rnacentral:rRNA from 1 species
UAGCAUAUAAGUAAGCGGAGGACAAGAAACUAAACAGGAUCCCCAUAGUAAUGGCGAAUGAACCGGGAUAAACUCAGCAUGGAAAUUGGGGCCUUUGGCUUUGACUUGUAAUCUGGUGAGGCAUUGCCAACAGAGGCGCAUAUGUAAGUCUCUUGGAAAAGAGCAUCAACGAAGGUGAGAGUCCUGAUUGUCAUGUGCAGCCCCCCUGUGCACGGUGUGCCUUCUAAGAGUCACGUUCCUUGGGAUUGGAGCGCAAAUUGGGUGGUAACUUUCAUCUGAAGUUAAACAAUGGUUUGGGACCGAUAGGAAACAAGUACCAUGAGGGAAAGGUGAAAAGGACUUUGGAAAGAGAGUUAAAAGUGCCUGAAAUUGCUGAAGGGGAAGCGAAUGGAACCAGUAGUGCUGGGUGAGAUUGUCACAUGCCACAAGGAUUGGUUGCUGCCACAACGCAAGUGUGAUGGCGAUGUGUGAAUUGCUAGUGUGUGGUGUGUCUUACCUAGUGGGUCAUUGUGGGUUUAUGCAUUAAGAUAAGUCAAAGCAAGCGGGAGCAAGUUUACGAGUUUGUGAAUGUGUGUUGUUAUGCUUGUGCGUAAGCUUUAGUGUUUGUCUGGCUGCAGGGCUGUCCAUCCUCAAGCAGGACUUGUGGUUGCGAUGAGCAUAACCUUCUGCACAGAUAUUGACGAAAUGGUUUCAUUCGACCCGUCUUGAAACACGGACCAAGGAGUCUAGCAUAUGUGCAUGCGCAUGGGCUUUACACCUGUGUGUGCAACGAAAGUGACUGCUGGGAUAAGUGCGUCAGCAACCGACCAAUUGAUUGAGAAAGGUUUGAGUAUCAGCAUAUGUGUUAGGACCCGAAAGAUGGUGAACUAUGCUUGAGAAGGGCAAACUCAGGGGAAACUCUGAUGGAGGCUCGUAUGCGGUA